GCUACUACCGAUUGAAUGGUUUAGUGAGGACUCCUGAUUCGCGCCGCCGCCCCGGCAACGGAGCAGCGGACUGCCGAAAAGUUGUUCAAACUUGAUCAUUUAGAGGAAGUAAAAGUCGUAACAAGGUUUCCGUAGGUGAACCUGCAGAAGGAUCAAGCUCGGAAGAGCAAACGUCUGCACUCCCGUCACGUGGCCUAAGCACGUAUCCCCUCUUCUGUUCGAAAAAAAUAACACCAACAAAAUAAGCAAACAUGAUUCACCAACCUAAAAUGACAGU
rnacentral:misc_RNA from 1 species